rnacentral:rRNA from 1 species
GCAUAUCAUUAAGCGAGGAAAAGAAACUAACAAGGAUUCCCCCAGUAACGGCGAGUGAAGCGGGAAGAGCUCAAGCUUAAAAUCUCCAUACUUGUAUGGCGAAUUGUAGUCUAUUGAGGCUGUUGUCAGCAUCGCGAUUGGGGACAAGUCCCUUGGAAAAGGGCAGCAUAGAGGGUGAUACUCCCGUCUCUGCUCCAAUCUGCGGUGUGUACGAUACGCUUUCUUUGAGUCGAGUUGUUUGGGAAUACAGCUCAAAGUAGGUGGUAAAUUCCAUCUAAAGCUAAAUAUUGGUGCGAGACCGAUAGCGAACAAGUACCGUGAGGGAAAGAUGAAAAGAACUUUGAAAAGAGAGUUAAAGAGUACCUGAAACUGUUGAAAGGGAACCGUAUCGUUUCCAGUGUUGUAUCCUAUGCAUAUUUCAUUCGCGGAGUAAUUUGCGGGUGCCCUGUGCAUGGGUGUGACGUCAGGGUCAGUUUGUAUGCUGCGGGAGAUGGUCAGUGAGGAGGUGCGUCACUUCGGUGAAAGUUAUAUCUCGCUGUCUAGUAGCCGUGGUUGAGACUGAGGUGCCUACAACAUGCCUUAAGGUUCCGUGUUGUCUCGUGUUGGUGACUGCUUUGAUAGCUUGCUAUGUCUGUGGUUUAUCAGUGCGAUUGAUGAUGCGGAUAACUUUUGCUGUUCGGGACUCUGGCGAAAUGGAGCGAUACGACC